CCAACGGCCCUCUUUAGGGCCACCAUUCGAAAAUUCAACUCUAAU
rnacentral:ncRNA from 14 species